rnacentral:lncRNA from 1 species
UUAAGGAGAAGCCUGAGGCCCCGACUGAGCAGCUGGAUGUCGCGUGCGGCCAGGAAAACUUGCCGGUGGGCGCGUGGCCCCCGGGGGCCGCGCCGGCGCCCUUCCAGACUAUGAAAAUGAUGUUAGACAAAAAGCAAAUUCGAGCAAUUUUCUUAUUCGAGUUCAAAAUGGGUCGUAAAGCAGCAGAAACAACUCGCAACAUCAACAAUGCAUUUGGCCCAGGAACUGCUAACGAACGUACAGUGCAGUGGUGGUUCAAGAAGUUUUGCAAAGGAGAUGAGAGCCUUGAAGAUGAGGAGCGUAGUGGC